UUCAGAAUGGCCAAGAGGUCAAAGGUGCUGCGUUCAUGUCGAAGUCCUUUCGGUUUUGGCGUGGUUUCGAAUCCCACUUCUGAUAA